UUGCUUCCUAAAAUAAAUAUCUGAUCUGUUACGUAUGUCUCACUUUUAUAUAUGUAUUUCUACUUAAACAUAUGUAUCACCAUUUCAAAAUUCCGGAAUAACAUGUAAUUAGUAAAAUAAAUGGAACUUUAUGUAAUAUUUGGUUAAACUAUGAAGGAAUUAUGUAAGUACUCUUAUAUUAAUGCAUCUUCUUCCUGGCCCGGACCUGUUCAUUGCUUCAUCAGCGAUACAAGGACUUUUCACCAAGUUUUGUUCAAGGCCUCUUGAAAGUCUUCUUUUCUGAAAAAGUUACAGAGGAUGUAGAUGUGGACAGGAAUGCGAGGGCUAUUAAAAAGCGUAGCACUUUAAAACUUCUGUUGGGGUUGUCGUCGAUACUGGUAUCUUUGGGAAUAUUAUUAAGGACCUCACGAGUGUAGAACAUUUGAAAGACCGUGAUUCAACUCAGACCAAUUUGUCACUCUUAGCUAGCUUUGCUCGACAAGGAAGUUACCUGCUUAGGCUUUCAUUGGCUGGCCAAGAUACUUUUGAAGAGAUGCACCUGAAAGAUUUUAUUUUUCAAUGCUUGCUUGAGACGUUUUUUCCUUAUAUGAAACUAUAUUUACAUUGCCAUAUCUGAUGUUCGUGUUACACAUGCAGCUUAGAGGUGAAUGGUCCGGUCUCUCUUGAUAGUGGGUAUCAAUUAUUAGGAAUGGGGAAGAAUGAAUUAGCAAAGAUUAUAUGUUGAUUAUUCAAGUUAUUUGCUACCUCGGUGUUUCAGAUUUAGAUGUAAGUUAAUAUACCACUUCAUACUGAGUUACUUGACGCGACUUUGCUUUAACCACAUCAAAUUAGUUGAUCUCAGCUUCAUUUGAUCACUUUGAUGUGCAAAGCUCAAUGACAUUCUUAGUAUAUACACCACAAGAGACAACGCGUUCAUUAACUUUGCUUCCACUAUUAUCCAAGAGUUUCUCAGAGUCAUCUACCCCUCUCAUCAUUGCUCCAGUCUCCCACAGAAUUACGUCCAUUGUAGAAAUGACCUCAUAAACUUCCGUUGGAGUUUUCAACGUUAAAAUAAAAAUGUCAAUAUUAGAUGAGUUCCGAAAGUUCUGCCUGCUAGAUUGUUCAAGCUACAAACAGAAAAACGCACAAAAGACAGAAAGCCAUUCGUUUGUGCAAAUUGUAAGCGGUAAACAAAGCUGACAUAUCUUUUAGCAGUAAUAAGUUGUUGUCAUCAUUUGUGUGGCUUCUACUGUUGUGAAUGAAGUGAUGCUGGUCCAUCUUUAAAAGAAUUCUCCUUUGCAGAAUAGAAUUAGCAGUGAAAGCUCUUGAAAUAGCUCUUCGAGCCAUAAAAUCGUUUGAGAGUUCUUCAAGGGGAAAGAGAAAUUUAGAGUUUGUUAUCUGUUUGCCCGUUGUAACAGCAUUAAAUUGCCACUUAGGGUUGUGUUAUACUGCUGGCUUGGAAAUUCAAAAGAGAUUGCGAGUGGCCUUGUCGAUAUAUUUGUCAUCUAUGAAUCCAUCUACGAGCCUAAUCAAGCUCUCGAAUUACUUCAGAAGGCUAUAAAAGUGUAUUGCUUUCUGAGAAUCUUCUUGUGUUUCGACUACUUUCUUUUUCAGGGAAUCCAUUGAGUUUGAACUAGAUGGAUCAGGUAAAGAAGAUUAUUCGUAUAUUUAGUCUUCAGUUGCUUUUUGAUUUAGGAUAUUCUUAUGUUCGUAGUGAUUUUUGAGUAAUUGAAGUAUGAAAAAGUUGAGAAAAUUAGGAAGGAACAUAUAGUGUAGUGUACAAGGCUCAUGAUCGCGUAACUAAUGAAACUAUUGCACUGAACAAAAUAAGGCUGGAGCAGGAAGAUGAGGGGGUACCUACCACAUCUAUUAGAGAAAUCUCCCUCUUUAAAGAGAUGUAGCGUGCUAAUAUUGUGAGGUAUAAUUUAAUGAUAUUACUAUGUGAUUGUAUUAUAGUGAUUUCUGUAGAGUGUAAUGUGGGCUAUGCUUUGGUUUCUUAUGAUUAUGUUAUCAAUAUGAGGUUGAUUAUAUGUGAACUUCAGUUUAUUAUAUUGCCUACUGCUCCACUUCUAAGAUUAAUGCAGGAUCUUCGUUAUUUUAAUUUUCAUUUUGCUUUCUGGCCUUGGUGUUGUUCCUUUUUGGUAUUUGAGGUCUGUUGAUUUCGAAUAGUGUGCAUAGUCUAAUUUUUUGGUUAUAAAAAAUGAUUAUAACCUUAAAUAUGACUCUAAAAUUAUACUUGCAUUUAGUGUUUGUUUUUGAAUAUUUACUCAUCUAGGAGUGCAUCUCCCUCCCAAAUGUUCCAGUUAUUAUACCUGACUUGGAAUUUUCAAUUAACCAAAAUCAAAGUUACUAAAACUCUAAAUAAUGUCUACUUGCAUGAAUUAUCUUCCUCAUUUUUUGUAACUUUUGCCUACUGGAGAAGGAUGGUUUUUUGGGGUUCUAAAGCUCGAUAGCUUUACUUAGUAUGGAGGACCAGUCAAUCAAAAUUAGGGAACUGAUCUGUUUAUCGACCUUGCUUAUUUCCCAAGGUACUAAUUUUUCUUCCCAGUUGCUUGCUUGCUUAAUGAAAAUAAGGUUAGCUUACCAUUAUUGAACAUUGACUUGCAUUGCAACAUCAUAAUAGUAAAAUGUAGCAUACUUUUAGACUAUAAUUCCUAGAAGAAAGAGGUAAUAUACAUGAAGAUUACAAAUAGAGCCCAUUGGUUAUUGAUUGCAAUACUUGAUUGUUUCUUUUGAAGAUUGAGAUCUAUAUUUUCACUAUUGAAUGCACAACUUACUUCUAAGAGCUCUACCAAAAUGGUUAACCACCUUUUUUGACUGGAGAUUCGAUAGUCACUGAAAGUGCACCUAAUUUACAUCAAUGGGAUGCACUGUCAAGAAAAGUGACCAGAAAGAAAGAAACAAAAGUUUAUUUUCUGUUAUCAUUGAAGAAGUUUAGUAGUUAGAUAUAUGAUCAAGCUCAACUCAACUUUCUUGAAGUAAUUCUGUACCUGGAAGCACCUACUUCGACAUGAAGUAAAGACUGGUUGCACAAGCACACUGGUCAUUAGCUUUUUUCUAUGAAAGCCAUAGGAGACACCUAUUAAUUGUAAAUCAUGUUGCAUAACUGAAUCGCCAAGGUGUUGUUUAGUAGUUUUGCAUAAUCUUAUUAUUUUGGAGGUGGAAUAAACUUAUUUGACAGUGGCUAUUGUCAAUUUGGAGUUUUCCCCUACAUGGAAAAAUAUAUACACAUCCUUAAGUCCAGUUAUUCCACCCUUUGAAUCCUCACAACUGUGGUUUGUGUAAUAUGUGGAGAAAUGAUGACCGAGCCGUCCGAUUUUGUUAUUAACAUUCUUGUAAUUCUGACCUGUAGAUGAGAGAGGGGAUGAAAAUUCAAGAUGCAGAUAAUGAGGUGUCACGAGUUAUCUCAAGGAGGGAUACGGCCACCCAAAUGAGCCCCAAGGAAAUCCCUUCCUCAUCUUCUAUAAGACACUCAAAUGAUUUAUUUUCGGUUUGCCAUAUUUUUGAGCUGGUUGAUAUACCUGCUGUCCGAAUACAAUUUGUGGUUGAGUUGCUUGUCUUAUCUUAGAAUAUUUUAUAUUGAGUCGGGUGUCUAUCGGAAACAGCCUCCCUAUCUCAUAUUUGAGGUAGUGGUAUAGACCAGUGUACACUUACCCUCCCCAGACCCCACUUGGUGGGAAUAUACUGGGUAUGUUGUUGUUGUUGUUGUAGAAUUGCAAAGUGUGCCUUCUUCUAAAGCAAAAAUUAGAGAUGCUCUCAUUGAUGAAUGGGUUACAGUGACCAGGUGGUCAAAGAAACAAAAAGCUCAAAUUCCAGGUAGGAGCAUGGAGCUUGAUGACUGGAAAUGGAAAGCUAUGGGAAUCCGAUCUUCAGGUUGGGAUGAUUCAGACACAUCAAGUAGUAUUUCAAAGUAAGUGAUGCUAUUUUAUUCAUUAGAUUGGAAGUAAAUUAUUUUGAAGCAUUAUCAUUUAGAGAUGUUUGAUGUUAGUCUAAGGCGAUUAAAGAUAUUACAAAUAGAAAAGGAAGAGGUGAUAGAUCUUUUGUAGAAGAUGCAAACACAAUGGCGAGGUUCAGAGGCCCAGUCUAGGGGUCAAGAGAAUUAGUAGAUCAUUUAGACAGAGUUGCAGAGACAAGUGGUGAGCCUUCUAUGUUUCGGAAGGUCUUAUGCCCUGCAGUCCUUUAGCUUAUAUUUAGUUUGUGGGUCUACUGGGGGCCUUGUCCCAGUUUAUAUACAGUUACUUGACUCAAUCAUUUGUUAGAGAUUUUCGCAGACAGUUGUUUAGAGGUUGAUUGAUAUUGGGGGAACCUUAUUUCCCCGUUAUUGUUUCUUCACAUAUUUAUGAUCAUGUUUCCGAAUACUUGUGUUUCUUCCAUAUUACUUUGAUCAUAUGAAUUAGGUGCAUGAUUAUCAGACAGAUAGAGGUGUUUCGGGCCUCCAAGGUUUGAAAUGCUCGUCACGGCCAGGCCCUGAUUCGGGUCGUGACACUCAGGUAUUGUUAUUGUUGUUUGUUUAGGAACUCAGACGCAAGUUUAUUUGCUUAUCCUCACCCAAGCACCUUCUCAAUUCCAGGAAGUGGCAAUUCUAGAUUUAGGCAAGUGGAAAAAUCUCUUAACAGAUUAUCCAUCUUUCUUUUCUGCUGUAUUAUCCUAUACCAACUCCUAUUCUGAUCAACUCGCGGUGUACAGUUGUAAAAGUUCUGUAAAGGUGGGAGUACAUUAUUAUGGUCAUGCACCACUUUACUAGUGCACUGCCUAGUUGGGAGUACAUUGUUCUGGAUUUCAUUUAGAAGAGUCACAUACUUCAGAGAUAGAUCAACCAACUUCUAUAGAUGGAAAUGUUAAGCAACCUUUUAUCAUAGGUAUGUAGAGGCGGUAAUAUAUCUCCUGUUGUUGCUACCAAACUUUAUCUAACUAAAGCCUAGAUUCAUUUUGUGUUCCUGAUCUUUAUCUUGCAUGUUGCAGUGACUUUGUAUCUCAUCUUAGAGGAGUUAGCUCAGCAUUUACCGGAAGCAUAUGUCAUGGCUUUGUUUCUCCCAAUUUGUUGUCUGGCGUUUGGUCAAAAUACAAUUUGUCGCUUUGGUAUGAGGAGAUCUCUAGGAAUUAUGGCCAAAUAUUGGAAUAGUUCAUGUAACAUGGCACUGUUGUGAAACUUAAUCUUUGAACUGACAGAACUUUGAUUCUAUUCAUGUAAGACCCCGUAAAAUCCUAAAGCUUAAUUCAGUCCUUUAAGCUUGUCAAGGGGUCCCAGACUUAGAAAAUUCUAGCUAGGUUCCCAGACUUAGCCUAUUAUUGGCCAUCGAAAGUUGGCAAU